CAGGAGCUGGGAGGGAGACGUGGAAGUGCUCAUCAGAGCUCCCCAGGGCCUGCCCCACAGUGAGGCCUCAGCACUGCAGCUUGAUGUUCACCUUUACCAUCUCUUUUAAUCUGUUGAGCUUCUGGAGACAUUUCUUUGCCAAACCAAGAUUGGAAACCAUUGAGCUCACCUGUGCGCUUUGCAAACUUUGAAGUGCAGCGCACAGGGCAACAGCUGGGCUGCAUUGUAUUCUCGGGCUCUUAUGCGUGGGCCAACUUCACCAUCCUGGCCUUGGGCGUGUGGGCUGUAGCUCAGCGGGACUCCAUCGACGCCAUAAGCAUGUUUCUGGGUGGCUUGCUGGCCACCAUCUUCCUGGACAUCGUGCACAUCAGCAUCUUCUACCCGCGGGCCGGCCUCACGGACACGGGCCGCUUUGGCGCGGGCAUGGCCAUCCUCAGCUUGCUGCUCAAGCCGCUCUCCUGCUGCUUUGUCUACCACAUGUACCGGCAGCGCGGGGGUGAGCUCCUGGUCCACACCGGUUUCCUUGGGUCUUCUCAGGACCGUAGUGCCUACCAGACGAUUGACUC
rnacentral:sRNA from 1 species